UAGUCCACGCCGUAAACGAUGUCUACUAGCCGUUGGGAGUCUUGAAUUCUUAGUGGCGCAGCUAACGCGAUAAGUAGACCGCCUGGGGAGUACGGCCGCAAGGUUAAAACUCAAAUGAAUUGACGGGGGCCCGCACAAGCGGUGGAGCAUGUGGUUUAAUUCGAUGCAACGCGAAGAACCUUACCAAGACUUGACAUCCAGAGAACUUACCAGAGAUGGUUUGGUGCCUUCGGGAACUCUGUGACAGGUGCUGCAUGGCUGUCGUCAGCUCGUGUUGUGAAAUGUUGGGUUAAGUCCCGUAACGAGCGCAACCCUUGUCCUUAGUUGCUAGCAGGUAAUGCUGAGAACUCUAAGGAGACUGCCGGUGACAAACCGGGAGGAAGGUGGGGACGACGUCAAGUCAUCAUGGGCCCUUACGUCUUGGGGCUACACACGUGCUACAAUGGGGCAGUACAAAGGGGCUGCAAACCCGCGAGGGGGAGCGUAAU
rnacentral:rRNA from 1 species